rnacentral:rRNA from 1 species
UACGGGGGGGGCAAGCGUUGUUCGGAAUUACUGGGCGUAAAGGGCUCGUAGGCGGCCAACUAAGUCAGACGUGAAAUCCCUCGGCUUAACCGGGGAACUGCAUCUGAUACUGGAUGGCUUGAGUUCGGGAGAGGGAUGCGGAAUUCCAGGUGUAGCGGUGAAAUGCGUAGAUAUCUGGAGGAACACCGGUGGCGAAGGCGGCGACCUGGUCCGAUACUGACGCUGAGGCGCGAAAGCGUGGGGAGCAAACAGG